AUAUGAAACACCUUGGGAUCUUGCCAAAAUACAGAUUCUGAUUCAGAAAGUCAGGGACCUGGCCUGAAAGUCUGCAUUUCUAACAAGCUCCCAGGUGAUACAGAU
rnacentral:pre_miRNA from 1 species